CACACCAACAUUAAGAUUCUGUUCAGACAUACAGUCUCCUACAGCUCUAAUAAUUCAAUUCAUGACCCAGUUGUGGGAGGGGACUGAAAGAUGUUGCAGUUUGCCCAACUCCACAGAGCAGGAAUGCAGCAGUAUUGAUACAGGUUCCUGGCUGUGAUCAGGCACCAUAUCAUGAGCAGUUAAUGUCAGGUCCAAAUCCUCAGCCGAAACAAGAGGAAGCAACUCUUUAAGGCCAGGAGGGUCUUUCACCGCCCCGUGUGCGCCGGUGCUCGCUCACAGCAAGCGCUGCCAUCUGGUGGCAUCUGGGAGAAUGGCAGCCCCGACUUCAGCGGCACGUCAGGGAACGGUGAUACAGUUGCUCCUUUAAAGACAGUAGCAGCGGCAUGAAUUGAUACCCAGCGGAAAGCUAAUCGAAUCCCUGAUUGUAACCAUAAGCUAGAAGUAUCAAUACCCUUCCAAGACACUCGUGAUAAUAUAUUUAUGUUCCUGGCAGGAAACUUGAGUUCAGCAAGUUUCUAGUGCAAAUCUGAUAUGGAUGGUUGACCUGAACUCUGGGGGACAAACUCUAAAGAUAGAACAGGUGGACAGGGUUUCUGCAUGCAGAAAACUGGAUGCCAGAACUUGGAUAAUUCUCUCUCUGUCAGCAUAGCACCCAGCCUUGCAAGAUGUGAUGUGGUCUCAAAUGCUGUUAGUGAAUCCAGGGGUCAAAAGAACUCAGGCCUUGCACAAUAGGGCCUGCUCUCCUUGUUAAAUAGAAGCACAAAAUUUGUGAGCGCAGCUAUUGUCAUUCCCAUGUAUUUUUGUUGCUCAUUUCCAUAUCUUCUACUGUAUCUCUGCUACAACAUCAGGGAGCUUUUCUCAUGCAGAGUCUGGACGGACAGCACAUAUUUGAAAUAGCACGAGGAGCUUGGAAUACAGUGUGUUUACAAGUCUGGAGUUUUAUGUCCUUAUCUGAACCAAACUGCUCACGCUUCUGAGCAUCAACACAUUGUUGCUCAUCAGAAAGUUAUCUGUCCAGACAAGGCACAUUGCUCCCAAUUUAGAAGAGCGAGCAAACACAUUUGAAACAUAACAAAAUUGGAAUGGGCUAACAAGGCAAGUAAAAGAAUUAUUCAAGGUCUCGCAAUACAGUUGAUAGCUUUCUUCACAAGGAAGAUUAGAGAGGAGUAGGUUGAUGUUCUUGGAUGCUAUUUGAGAAGAAAAGGAUAAAGGCCAUUGGAACCAAGCAGAUAAAAUACAAGAUCCAGUGGCUGAAUCUGUAAAAAUUCAGAUUAAAAUCAGAAGUGUAUCUUUUCUGAGUGAAGCUUAACCAUUCAGCCAGUCAAUACACACCAUCAUGGACUGUCCACCACUUGAAACCUUCAAUUCAAGAGUAGAAAUCCUUAAAAAGUCCUUAUUCUAUGAUUCCAGACAGCUCCUGAAGCACUGUAGAAAACACAUGUUGGUCAUUUACAGUCUGAAUUGUGCAAAGAG